CAUUUCAAGCUGAAGAUGAUCCUGCUGUGAAGCUCAAGUCCAAUGAAGUUAGGAUUGGACCAAUAACACGAGCUCGUGCGAAGCUACUCAAACAACAUGUGAACUUGUUCCUAAACGAUACUUUGAUUGAUGCGAACUUUAUACUGCCUAAGUGCUAUUACUUAUGUAUGAUCAGGUAUGAGGAGGGAGCAAGCAUCGCACGAGGAAGAGAGGAGCAGCUGGACCAGAAGAUGGACGUGAAGUUGGACAUGGAGCUGGACAUGAAGACAUCCCAUGGACGCGCGAGGGAGGAGCGGGAGGAAUGCGCGAGAGGGGAAGCUGAAGUUCAGGCCGGUGCCAGAUCCGGUCCGACCGGCCGUGCCGCCGGACCAUCCGGUCCCAGGCCCGGUCCGACCGGAUCCUGCGCCGGGUCCGCCCGGUUUCAACCGGGUUUUUGACCUGUGCCAUCCGGGCGAUGUCCAGUAAGCCAGAAACGUCGCCCGGUCACCACCCAGCUCCAGGCUUGGUUUGAACCGGACCGGCCGGUCCCAGACCCGGUCGACCGGCCUCCCGACCGGCCGACUCCGAGUCUGUCUCGACCAGAUCUGUUCUAGGUCGGUUAUUCUCGUAUUUUUUCGACCUGAGGUCAUCCUGUACUCCUAUAUAAGUGCCCAGGACACUCCCUAGCUGAUUUAGACCACGUUUAAGAUAAACCCUAGUUCUUAGUUGUUUGCUCUGCAAAACUAUUGAAUUCCCUACACCAUAUUGCUUGA